rnacentral:lncRNA from 1 species
CCGAGCAGCGGCCUCAGCCCGGGUCCCGGCGGGGUGAAGGGACUUGCGAGCCGCUGAAGGGACGGUGUUUGAGGAGAUGCUUUCAUCAUCCUGCCCUGAAAUGGCUGCCUUUUUGGAGGAGAAUAUUAGUAUCUUCUCUGAGUCUUCAGGAAGGGAGUCUGGGAACAAGGCUGCAGGAGAGAGAGCUUCCUCUGGCAAUGUGAGCUGUGGGAACACUUCCCCAGAAGCAGAGGAUACUGAUAUCCACCUGCUGUACCUCUCCAAAAGGGCCGCUCUGCGUGGGAGGAAGCGCCUGAAGCCCAAGUCUGGGCCGGCCCCGUCAGGUGGUGAUGGCUGCGGCUCUGUGAGGCCGGGGCACCUUCCUCAGAGCCCCGAGCUCCCUGUGGACACCAAGAGGCUGAAAGAAGCCAACAAGGAGAACCUCGAGGCCGACCUGAAGGUGCCCGAGCACAGCCGCUCCCAGCAGCGCUUGGACACACCCCCGAGCAAGGACCCGCCCUUGACCAACAGGAACGAUGCUUCCAGGACAAGUGAAGCUUCUCUUGGGUUGCUUCCAGGGCAUGAGGCUUCCCCAGCUCUUCCAGAGAAAGUCAUUGCCACUCCAAGAAUUUAGAGGCUUUCAUCUAAGGUCACAGUCCUGGACAUCCAUGUCCGCAGUCCUGGUUGAAACUUAUAUAUUGUCAGGACUGUUGUAACAAUCCGUAAUAAGUUUUUAAACUGAAAUUGAUAUUUGCGUGUAUUGGCAGCACCGUUGUAGCCCUUUGCAAUAAAAUUUUUAAACUGAACUAGGUGUUGAUUUGU